rnacentral:ncRNA from 2 species
UGCCCCCUGACGGGAGAGACCGGCCUCGCCGGCGCCGAAGGAGCAACCGCCCCGGAAACUCUCAGGCAAAAGGACCGUCACGGGACG